GAUGAACGCUGGCGGCGUGCCUAAUACAUGCAAGUCGAGCGAACGGACGCGACGCUUGCUUCUCUGAUGUUAGCGGCGGAGGGGAGUGACACAUGUGUAACCCCCCCCUAUCUGACUGGGAACUCCUCGGGAAACCGGCGCUUAUCCCGGAGAAUCUUCUGAUCCGUGUGGUUCGAUAGUGAAAGUCGGUCUUGCUGUCUCUUCUCGAUGCUUACCGGCUGGAUGGGCUAGUUGGUACGGUAACGGCUUACCACGGCAACGAUGCAUAGACGACCUGAUGGGGGGAUCGGCCACACGGGAACGGAGACGCGGUCCAGGCGCCUACGGGAGGCAGCAGUAGGGAAUCGUCGGCAAUGGGCGGAAGCCUGACGGAGCAACGCCGCGUGAGUGAUGGAGGUCUUCGGAGCGUAAAGCUCUGUUAUGGGUGAAGAACAGAUGUGUAAGUAACUGUGCACAGCUUGACGGUACCGAAUCAGAAAGCCACGGCUAACUACGUG
rnacentral:rRNA from 1 species